rnacentral:rRNA from 1 species
UUUUUUUUAAGGAUAAAUGUAACAAGGUUUCCGUUGGGGAACCAGCGGAGGGAUCAUUACCGAGUUUACAAUUCCCAAACCCCUGUGAACAUACCCUCUUCGAUUGCCUCGGCGGGACUCGCCCCGGCGCCCCUUCGGGCCCGGAUCCAGGCGCCCGCCGGAAGGACCCAAACUCUUGUCUCUUGCGAGUAUCUUCUGAGUGACACAAGCCAAAUAAAAUCAAAACUUUCAACAACGGAUCUCUUGGUUCUGGCAUCGAUGAAGAACGCAGCGAAAUGCGAUAAGUAAUGUGAAUUGCAGAAUUCAGUGAAUCAUCGAAUCUUUGAACGCACAUUGCGCCCGCCAGUAUUCUGGCGGGCAUGCCUGUUCGAGCGUCAUUUCAACCCCUCAGGCCCCCGGGCUUGGUGUUGGGGAUCGGCCCGCCCCUGGCGGCGGCGCCGGCCCCGAAAUCGAGUGGCGGUCUCGCUGCAGCCUCCUCUGCGUAGUAGCACACACCUCGCACCGGGACGCAGCGCGGCCACGCCGUGAAACCCCCAACUCUCUCAAGGUUGACCUCGAAUCAGGUAGGACUACCCGCUGAACUUAAGCAUAUCAAUAAGCGGAGGAAAAGAAACCAACAGGGAUUGCCCUAGUAACGGCGAGUGAAGCGGCAACAGCUCAAAUUUGAAAUCUGGCCCCCGGGUCCGAGUUGUAAUUUGUAGAGGAUGCUUUUGGUGCGGUGCCUUCCGAGUUCCCUGGAACGGGACGCCAUAGAGGGUGAGAGCCCCGUCUGGUUGGACACCAAGCCCUCUGUAAAGCUCCUUCGACGAGUCGAGUAGUUUGGGAAUGCUGCUCUAAAUGGGAGGUAUAUGUCUUCUAAAGCUAAAUACCGGCCAGAGACCGAUAGCGCACAAGUAGAAGUGAUCGAAAGAUGAAAAGCACUUUGGAAAAGAGGGUUAAACAGUAACGUGAAAAUUGUUGAAAAGGGAAAGCGCUUGUGACCAGACGUGGGGCCCGGUCAAUCAUCCAGCGUUCUCGCUGGUGCAACUUGGCCGGGCUCAGGCCAGCAUCAGUUCGGCGCGGGGGGAUAAAGGCGUUCGGGCAUGUGGCUUCCCCCGGAGAGUGUUAUAGCCCGUCGCGCAAUACCCUGCGCCGGAACUGAGGUUCGCGCAUCGCAGAUGCGCUAUGGGGGAGGUUUUUAGCACUUUUUAAAACGAAAAAA